UACCAGCACCCCGAGUGGUCGGGACGUUUUAUUGGGCCUAAAGCAUCCGUAGCCGGUUCUGCAAGUCUUCCGUUAAAUCCACCUGCUUAACAGAUGGGCCGCGGAAGAUACUAUAGAGCUAGGAGGCGGGAGAGGCAAGCGGUACUCGAUGGGUAGGGGUAAAAUCCGUUGAUCCAUUGAAGACCACCAGUGGCGAAGGCGGCUUGCCAGAACGCGCUCGGACGGUGAGGGAUGAAAGCUGGGGGAGCAAACCGG
rnacentral:rRNA from 1 species